CCUACGGGAGGCAGCAGUGGGGGAUAUUGCACAAUGGGGGAAACCCUGAUGCAGCGACGCCGCGUGGGCGAAGAAGUAUUUCGGUAUGUAAAGCCCUAUCAGCAGGGAAGAAGAAAUGACGGUACCUGAGUAAGAAGCACCGGCUAAAUACGUGCCAGCAGCCGCGGUAAUACGUAUGGUGCAAGCGUUAUCCGGAUUUACUGGGUGUAAAGGGAGCGCAGGCGGCACGGCAAGCCUGAUGUGAAAGCCCGCGGCCCAACCGCAGGACUGCAUUGGGAACUACCGGGCUGGAGUGCCGGAGAGGUAGGCGGAAUUCCUAGUGUAGCGGUGAAAUGCGUAGAUAUUAGGAGGAACACCAGUGGCGAAGGCAGCCUACUGGACGGUGACUGACGCUGAGGCUCGAAAGCGUGGGGAGCAAACAGGAUUAGAUACCCUGGUAGUC
rnacentral:rRNA from 1 species